UCUCCUGUCCCUCCUGUCCUCAUUUAUCCCUCCUGUCCUCAUCUGUCCCCUCCUGUCCUCUCCUGUCCUCAUCUGUCCUCAUCUGUCCUCUCCUGUCCUCGUCUUAGUCUUUGUGUCUCCAGGGACCAAACGUCACCAACACUAACUCUGCUUCAGUUGUGACGUCGCCUUAAACUCUAUUGGUUGAAUCACAUGUAAAGGAGGUGUCGGCGCCCGUAGGGGGCGGAGCCCUCCAUCCAAUCGCCUUCUUCAGUCCUUCCAAACAGCCGAUCACCUGAAC